GUCGGUGCCCAUCAGAGGUAAAGAUAAUGUAACACAACGUUCCAGCUUCAUACCUGUCACUCUGGAGGUGGAAAGGAGAGCUACUGCUGUUGGAAAGAACAGAACGAGAAAAAGACGAAUUAAUGAAAGGAGGAGACAUCCACUCCAAGAGAACCCACUUAGUAAAGACCAACCCCUACAGCCCUUUCUCACCCAGACAUGACCUUGAGAGCAACAACAGAUGGAAGACUUCAUAUUGUUUUAUGAAAUCCGUGACUGAGUAGACACAGUAGGCCGAUUGCUUUAUGGGCGGCAGAUAGCCUAGUGGUUAGAGCAUUGGGUCAGUAACCGAAAGGUCGCUGGUUUGAAUACCUGAGCCGACAAGGUGAAAAAAAGUCUGCCGUUGUGACCCCUGAGUAAGGCACUUAACCCUGAUUUGCUCCAGAGGUGCUGUACUACUAUGACUGACCCUGUAAAACAACACAUUUCACUGCACCUAUCCAGUGUAUGUGACAAAAAAACAUAUUAGGAAACAUAUGAGAAAAGUUUUGUUUGUGAAAAAGACCUUGAGAUUCUGUCCCACCAUUCAAGGCCCUAGCAUAGAAAAACACAAAUUAACCCAGCGUUUCCCAAACUCAACCCUGGGGAUCCCAAGGGGUGCACAUUUUGGUUCUUGCCCUAGCAUUUGACCCAACUAAUUAAAAUAAUUAACUAAUCACCAAGCUUUGAAAACUUGAAUCAGCUGUGUAGUGCUUGGGAAGAAAAAAAAAGCAUGCACCCCUUGGGAUCCCCAGGACCGAGUUUGGGAAACGGUCAACUAACUCAUGACCACACAUGACCGCUAGGCUACAGCAUUGGAUUGUUCAGACGUCUGAUCAAACAGAGCUGUCGUCUUUAUUGUGUCAAACUCACCUCUGGACCACGUGUACCUGAACUGUGGAUUCCUUCUUGACUUGUGUUCCACUCUUUGCUCUUCAUUGGGCUCAUCAUUGUAAGUUUACAGUGGGUGAGCAUGGUCCAUGAGAACUGUAAGCACUGUCUGGCUUGCUGAGCCACCUUACUGGACUCUGUGGUGGAAGGGUCAGCGGUACCUGGGAACCUUUGGACGUCCCUACACAAAACCCUAACCUUUACCCUUACCUUAACCUUUUUAAAUAGAAUCUUCAACUGGGUGACAUCAGAAUUGGCCCGUCCCAAGGAUCACAUUUAGACGUGUCCGUACUGGAAGACAACGGCUGAACAGAGAGCGAUGCUCCACCACUGACACCACAUUAAAUGUGACCAAGUUGUAGGUAAAGAAGAAAUCUUGUAGCUGUAAUGAAUGACUGUUGUGAUAGAAUCAGCGAGGUAGAGAUCAGAGCCAUGUAGGACUAGAGGUCAAGAGCAGGCUGCCAAUCAUUGUGUCCUCGGCAACCCUGGAGAAAACCAUGCUGAAGAACCAUGUAUUAAGUAGAAGAAAAGGCCUAUUAACAAAUACAAAUAGCUGUUCUACGUGUUGGAAUAUUAUUUUGUCUCGACUACGAUAUUUACAAUCGAUGCAGUAUGUUAAAGCUAUUGAUUCACUUCAGAUGUGUGUGCCAUACAAUGUAUACAGACAGUAUUGUAGAGUAUUGCCAUUUUACUAUGGGAAGAAGUGUUUCCAUAAAGUGUGGCUCAGUGUCUUGAAUUGUAUUAUCUGGGAAUAUAACCUUAGAAUCUAUCUGCAACUUUAUCACUAGUAGCAAUGUGUCGUUAACAGAAAGUCAUUCUUGCUCUCUAUCCAGCACAUUUUAUCAAUGAAUAAAAAUACAAUUUCUUGAAGGUCAAAAUAUGGACGUUAUGGCCGUAUAAAGGGACAGAACUGGUUGAAAAGAUCAGUAGCCUCCAGAGCCCAUGUAAACUCAAGUCACGUAGUUUACCACUGUCACACAAACAGGGCUGCAACACAACUUUCUAACUAUUAUUUCAGCAGUCUACUGCCAGCAGCAUAGCACCCUGCAUCCCACUGCUGGUUUGCCCCUGAAGCAAAGCACGGUUGGUCCCGGUCAGUCCCUUGAUGGAAGACCAGAUGCUGCUGGAAACGGUGUUGGAGGGCCAAUAGGAGGCACUCUUUCAUCUGGUCUAAGGAGAUCCUAAUGCCCCAGGGCAGUGAAGGGGACAUUGCCCUGCAUAGGGUGCUGUCUUUCAGAUGGGAAGUUAAAUGGGUGUCCUAACUCUCUGUGGUCAUUAAAAAUCCCAUGGCAUUUAUUGUAAGAGUAGGGGGUUAAAUUCCCAACCUGGCCACCUAAUCAUCCUCCUAAUUGGCCUAUAUCACUUUCCAGCUGGUGAGUGUAGUGCUUUAUAAAUCCACUCUCAUUAUGUUGUAAAUGUGCCUCGUGUUCUUAUAGGGCUUCUGGGCUGAAACAAGCUCAACUUAACAUGCGAACCACAGGAAGCUGCUGUGGGGGCGGCUCAUAAUAAUGUCCGGAACGGAGUCAAUGGAAUGGCAUAUCAUUCCACUGACUCCGCACCAGCCAUUACCAUGCGCCAGUCCUCCCCAAUUAAGGUGCCACCAACCUCCUGUGAUGUGAACAUAUUCAAUCAGUGCAAACCCCACUUACCUUAUUUUACUGUCCAGUCCAACCCCCACCUACCUUAUUACACUGGCUAGUCCAAACCCCACCUACCUUAUUAUACCGGCUAGUCCAAACCCCACCUACCUUAUUAUACCGGCUAGUCCAAACCCCAC
ensembl:lncRNA